rnacentral:rRNA from 1 species
AACGAACGCUGGCGGCAUGCCUAACACAUGCAAGUCGAACGAGACCUUCGGGUCUAGUGGCGCACGGGUGCGUAACGCGUGGGAACCUGCCCUUAGGUUCGGAAUAACUCCCCGAAAGGGGUGCUAAUACCGGAUAAUGUCUUCGGACCAAAGAUUUAUCGCCUUUGGAUGGGCCCGCGUUGGAUUAGCUAGUUGGUAGGGUAAAAGCCUACCAAGGCGACGAUCCAUAGCUGGUCUGAGAGGAUGAUCAGCCACACUGGGACUGAGACACGGCCCAGACUCCUACGGGAGGAAGCAGUGGGGAAUAUUGGACCAUGGGCGAAAGCCUGAUCCAGCAAUGCCGCGUGAGUGAUGAAGGCAUUAGGGUUGUAAAGCUCUUUUACCCGGGAUGAUAAUGACAGUACCGGGAGAAUAAGCUCCGGCUAACUCCGUG